UGAGGAAUAUUGGUCAAUGGACGAGAGUCUGAAACCAGCCAAGUAGCGUGAAGGAUGACUGCCCUAUGGGUUGUAAACUUCUUUUAUAUGGGAAUAAAACGUUCCACGUGUGGGAUUUUGUAUGUACCAUAUGAAUAAGGAUCGGCUAACUCCGUGCC
rnacentral:rRNA from 1 species